GUUGACCUCGGAUCAGGUAGGAAUACGCGCUGAACUUAAGCAUAUCAAUAAGCGCAGGAAAAGAAACCAACAGGGAUUACCUCAGUAACGGCGAGUGAAGCGGUAAUAGCUCAAAUUUGAAAUCUGGCCUCUCGGGGUCCGAGUUGUAAUUUGUAGAGGACGUUUUGGGUACCGCCCCGGUCUAAAUUUCUUGGAACAGAAUGUCAUAGAGGGUGAGAAUCCCGUCUUGGACCGGCGGUAGGGCCUGUGUAAAACUCCUUCGACGAGUCGAGUUGUUUGGGAAUGCAGCUCAAAAUGGGUGGUAAAUUUCAUCUAAAGCUAAAUAUUGGCCAGAGACCGAUAGCGCACAAGUAGAGUGAUCGAAAGAUGAAAAGCACUUUGAAAAGAGAGUUAAACAGUAUGUGAAAUUGUUGAAAGGGAAGCGCUUGCAACCAGACUUGAGCGCGGCGGUUCCCCCGGCCUUUUGGCCGGGCUACUCCGCCGUGUCCAGGCCAACAUCGGUUCUGAGGGUCGGUCAAAGGCCCCGGGAAUGUAUCUACCCACGGGUAGACUUAUAGACCGGGGUGUCAUGCGGCCUCUCGGGACCGAGGAACGCGCUUCGGCUCGGAUGUUGGCGUAAUGGUUGUCAGCGACCCGUCUUGAAACACGGACCAAGGAGUCUAACAUCUAUGCGAGUGUUUGGGUGUCAAACCCGGAACGCGAAAUGAAAGUGAACGGAGGUAGGAAGCUUCGGCUGCACUAUCGACCGAUCCUGAAGUUUACGGAAGGAUUUGAGUAAGAGCAUAGCUGUUGGGACCCGAAAGAUGGUGAACUAUGCCUGAAUAGGGUGAAGCCAGAGGAAACUCUGGUGGAGGCUCGCAGCGGUUCUGACGUGCAAAUCGAUCGUCAAAUUUGGGUAUAGGGGCGAAAGACUAAUCGAACCAUCAGAGACACACUGCGUUAUCAAAGGUGGAAGAACUUGAAAAGAUCCCUCAAAAUACGAGUAGGCGCGCCAGUUGAUGGGUCAUGGCUGACGCGUUCCAGAAGCUAAUGACUCCUGCGCCCGGCGCGAUCCCCCGCCGGCCAGCGAAAAAUGGCAAGGGGACACAAACGGAUCCCGCUACGCGAAAGCGUAGCGGUUCCGAGUCAAUACUUGCCAUGUAGGCUUUAUGGGAGAAAAGGGAAUCCCGCUCGUAUUUUAUGACCCGACCCGGGGACAACAAUAUCCUUAUUUAAGGAGCAUCUUUAUCAACGUAUUCUUACCGUAGUAGUUACCGGUGGUUGAGUGUAACCAUGAAAGUGGUUGCAAGUGCCUAGUUCUGGCGCGACACUAUCAAAUUGCGGGGACUCCCUAAAGCUUUAACGACCGCCCCGCCUAUGAAAAUAUGGCGCGGGCACCGGGUUAAUGACCCCGGGUAUGGUAAAACUGUUAAAGAUGCGACAAUGGGUAAUCUGCAGCCAAGUCCUAAGGGCCUAUUGGCCUAUGGACACAGUUCACAGACUAAAUGGUAGUGGGCUCUUCGUGGGCUUAAGAUAUAGUCGGUCCCCCAGGGAAACCUGGGCACACUCGCUAAAUCUGGAGGGAAGACUCUGCCUCGGGCAGUUCCUCCAGACCUGAACGCGUGUGGGCGCCCU
rnacentral:rRNA from 1 species